GCAUUGAAAUUAUCAUCCAGUAGUAUAUUACUAGGCUUAAUAUCGCCGUGAAUCGCUGGUGGGUCACAGAAAUGGUGCAAGUACUCCAACCCUUUAGCUAUAUCAAGAGCAAUUGUAAACCUCUUUUUCCAAUCCUUCAAUUCACUACACUUGCGAUGCAAAAGGCAGUCUUGUAAGCUUCCGUUAGCUAAAAGCUCGUAAACUAGUAGCAUACGACGGCCUCUUUGAUCGGAAGAGAAACCAAUAGUGGAAACAAUGUAUUUAGAAUCAAUUUUCCCAGCGAAAAAGAGUUCGUUCUGAAAUUCACGCUCACCUUGCAAGGACCCAGCGUCCAUGACUUUAACAGCAACCGAGACAUUAGAAUUGGUAGUUGGGCUUUUGACAGUUCCUCUGUAAACAGACCCAAACCCACCUUGACCCAGACGAAGCGAUGGAGAGAAUUUAGAGGUGGCUCGACGGAGAGAGGUGUAUGAGAACCGGUGAGGGGGUUUUGACUCUGAAUCGGAAGAGGGAACGGUUCGCUUCAAGCUUAUUUUCCGGAAGCAUAAAGUGAAGAGAAUAAGGAGAGAUGCAGCAGCGGCUAUUCCUCCGGCGAGAGGUGCCAAUAGAUUGUGGCUCUGACGGUGAACAUGCUGCGGCGGCGGCGACAACAGCGGCAACGGCGGUAGUGAACGGAGUUCACGCGAUGGCAUGAUUGAAAUUGAUGAAAGAAAAAAAAAAUUUACAGAAAUGAAUGAUUUAUGAAGUGAAAAAUCAACAUAAGUUUU
rnacentral:misc_RNA from 1 species